GUGUCGUUCUCAUUAAAGUUGGUGGUGAUUUGUAUUAGUCAAUGCAUUUUUAAUGAGCGGAUGCUGGCUUUUUAAUCUUCAAUUUCUUCUCCUUAUACUUGCACUAUAAGAAAAUUUAUACCAUGGAUAGGUACCUUUAGGUGUCUUGGAAUUAUCUCCAACGUUAAUCAUCAAUUUCGGUAAAACAAGAUUUUAAAAGCAUAAUUCUUUGUUAUACCGAGAUCGGUCGGAGACUAGUAAGAAAGACAAGAACUCGUCGGUGGGUUAGCAACAAAGACGUUUAUUAGAUCAAAUGAAUUUAAUCGGUUUACAAAUGAGGAAAGAAGCAUUGAAAACAAACCG
rnacentral:lncRNA from 1 species